rfam:Saprolegnia parasitica CBS 223.65 unplaced genomic scaffold supercont2.108, whole genome shotgun sequence.
CGGCUUGUACUUGGCGCCAAGGAUGUAGACGCGGAUCAUGCGUUGAAUCGUGGUGACUGCAGUACAGUUCUGUUCUACUUUGUUUUCAAAGUUGACAUCACAAAUGACUUUGAUGAUCGUAUGUGACCACGUCCGUUGACUCGGGAUGUCGGCCAGAAACUCGAAUUGAGUUUUGAGUUGCUGGCUCUUGAUGAACGUCCACCGUUGCUAUUCCAAGACGGUGUGAGCGGACGCUGGUGUUAUGAGAAGU